UACGAAGGGGACUAGCGUUGUUCGGAAUCACUGGGCGUAAAGCGCACGUAGGCGGAUUUGUAAGUCAGGGGUGAAAUCCCGGGGCUCAACCUCGGAACUGCCUUUGAUACUGCGAGUCUUGAGUCCGAUAGAGGUGGGUGGAAUUCCUAGUGUAGAGGUGAAAUUCGUAGAUAUUAGGAAGAACACCAGUGGCGAAGGCGGCCCACUGGGAUCGGUACUGACGC
rnacentral:rRNA from 1 species